UUUUUAUAUAACGAGUAAUAGAUGGCAAGCAAGUUCACAAAAAUAAUAUAAAAUGAACAUUUACUUGCAGGGUUGUCCUUGUGCCGUUAGUGGCAGCGAGAAUCGUGGAUUACUCAACAGCUCUAUUUAUUCCGAUACCAUCAGGCGAAACCGCAAUUUUAUCAGAAUUUCAUUUAUUUGAAACACACUAUAAACUUUACAGUCAUAGAAGAAGGAUUUGUGGACAACAUAAAUAU